GGCAUAGCCUAGCGGUAGCGUGUGUGCAUGAAGUGCACAUGGGCGUGGGUUUGAUUCCCCGCUGCGGCA
rnacentral:tRNA from 1 species